rnacentral:tRNA from 1 species
GGAGAGAUGCCGGAGUGGUCGAACGGGGCAGACUCGAAAUCUGUUGAAUCCUUCGGGAUUCCGAGGGUUCGAAUCCCUCUCUCUCCGCCA